AAAAAACACCCACGCCGAAAGACCAAGGGUUCCUGCGCAACGUUAAUCGACGCAGGGUUAGUCGGUUCCUAAGGCGAGGCUGAAAAGCGUAGUCGAUGGGAAACAGGUUAAUAUUCCUGUACUUCUGGUUACUGCGAUGGAGGGACGGAGAAGGCUAGGCCAGCUUGGCGUUGGUUGUCCAAGUUUAAGGUGGUAGGCUGAAAUCUUAGGUAAAUCCGGGGUUUCAAGGCCGAGAGCUGAUGACGAGUCGUCUUUUAGAUGACGAAGCGGUUGAUGCCAUGCUUCCAAGAAAAGCUUCUAAGCUUCAGGUAACCAGGAACCGUACCCCAAACCGACACAGGUGGUCGGGUAGAGAAUACCAAGGCGCUUGAGAGAACUCGGGUGAAGGAACUAGGCAAAAUGGCACCGUAACUUCGGGAGAAGGUGCGCCGGCUAGGGUGAAGGAUUUACUCCGUAAGCUCUGGCUGGUCGAAGAUACCAGGCCGCUGCGACUGUUUAUUAAAAACACAGCACUCUGCAAACACGAAAGUGGACGUAUAGGGUGUGACGCCUGCCCGGUGCCGGAAGGUUAAUUGAUGGGGUUAGCGCAAGCGAAGCUCUUGAUCGAAGCCCCGGUAAACGGCGGCCGUAACAAUAACGGUCCUAAGGUAGCGAAAUUCCUUGUCGGGUAAGUUCCGACCUGCACGAAUGGCGUAACGAUGGCGGCGCUGUCUCCACCCGAGACUCAGUGAAAUUGAAAUCGCUGUGAAGAUGCAGUGUAUCCGCGGCUAGACGGAAAGACCCCGUGAACCUUUACUGUAGCUUUGCACUGGACUUUGAGCCUGCUUGUGUAGGAUAGGUGGGAGGCUUUGAAGCGUGGACGCCAGUUCGCGUGGAGCCAUCCUUGAAAUACCACCCUGGCAUGCUUGAGGUUCUAACUCUGGUCCGUAAUCCGGAUCGAGGACAGUGUAUGGUGGGCAGUUUGACUGGGGCGGUCUCCUCCUAAAGAGUAACGGAGGAGUACGAAGGUGCGCUCAGACCGGUCGGAAAUCGGUCGCAGAGUAUAAAGGCAAAAGCGCGCUUGACUGCGAGACAGACACGUCGAGCAGGUACGAAAGUAGGUCUUAGUGAUCCGGUGGUUCUGUAUGGAAGGGCCAUCGCUCAACGGAUAAAAGGUACUCCGGGGAUAACAGGCUGAUACCGCCCAAGAGUUCAUAUCGACGGCGGUGUUUGGCACCUCGAUGUCGGCUCAUCACAUCCUGGGGCUGAAGCCGGUCCCAAGGGUAUGGCUGUUCGCCAUUUAAAGUGGUACGCGAGCUGGGUUUAGAACGUCGUGAGACAGUUCGGUCCCUAUCUGCCGUGGACGUUUGAGAUUUGAGAGGGGCUGCUCCUAGUACGAGAGGACCGGAGUGGACGAACCUCUGGUGUUCCGGUUGUCACGCCAGUGGCAUUGCCGGGUAGCUAUGUUCGGAAAAGAUAACCGCUGAAAGCAUCUAAGCGGGAAACUUGCCUCAAGAUGAGAUCUCACUGGGAACUUGAUUCCCCUGAAGGGCCGUCGAAGACUACGACGUUGAUAGGCUGGGUGUGUAAGCGUUGUGAGGCGUUGAGCUAACCAGUACUAAUUGCCCGUGAGGCUUGACCAA
rnacentral:rRNA from 1 species